UUGAGGGAAGCUGCUCCUAGUACGAGAGGACCGGAGUGGACGAACCACUGGUGUUCGGGUUGUCAUGCCAAUGGCAUUGCCCGGUAGCUAUGUUCGGACGGGAUAACCGCUGAAAGCAUCUAAGCGGGAAGCCCCUCCCAAGAUAAGUUCUCACUAGAGCUUUAAGCUCUCUAAAGGUCCGUUGAAGACUACAACGUUGAUAGGCUGGGUGUGGAAGUGCAGUAAUGCAUGUAGCUAACCAGUACUAAUUGACCGUGAGGCUUGACCAUAUAACACCCAAACAGUU
rnacentral:rRNA from 1 species